rnacentral:lncRNA from 1 species
ACACAGCACUCGUGCAAUCGACUUGACAAGCAAUGAAAAAGCUCCCAAUUAGCGCAGAAUCAAGUAUCGAAGCAACCAAAAAGGUAAAAAUAUAAGAAGAAAAGUAAAGAAAAUAAAGAACAAGGAAAUAACAAAAAAUAAAAAGAAAAAAGACGAUAGAAUUAGUUAUAAGGAUUUAAAUUAACCACCAGCUAGCCUUC